GCAGGGAUUCCCGAGCGGUCAAAGGGGCAGGACUUAAGAUCCUGUGGUUUAGUACCUUCGAGGGUUCGAAUCCCUCUCCCUGCA
rnacentral:tRNA from 1 species